rnacentral:rRNA from 1 species
AUGUCGUCCUCAUCCACCAUCUCGCUCAACCUUGGUUCUCUCCCAUCUGAGAAGCUCACCAAGACCAACUUCAUCCUAUGGAAGGCACAGGUCAUGCCGGGCCUGCGAGGAGCGCAGGUCACCGGCCUCCUGGACGGAUCAGAUAUAGCGCUACCGAAGACGGUGCAGCAGCAGGCGGACAAAACUACCGCCGCAACACCCAAUCCCCUGUAUGCGCAGUGGAUAUCAAAGGACCAGCAAGUCCUAAGCCAUCUCCUGAAUUCCCUAUCAAUGGAGAUCCUCGUCCAAGUUGCGAGCAAGGAGACGACGUUCGAUCUCUGGACUGCCAUCACCACCCUGUUCGCCUCGCAGUCCCAGUCGCGCAUCACCAACCUACGGAUCGCCAUCACCAACACAACGAAAGGAUCCAUGUCCAGCAGCGCCUACAUCUCCAGGAUGAAGAACCUGGGGGAUGAGCUCGCAGCGGCAGGCCGCCCCGUCUCGGACCCAGAGAUGGUGGACUACGUGCUUGCCGGCCUCGACAGAGAUUACGUCCCUGUUGUGGCAGCCAUUGGUGCAGUCAAAAAUCAGAUCUCAGUAGAUGAUUUAUUCGCCCAAAUUGCAGCGUUUGAUCAGCGCGUAGAGAUGCUCGGCGACGGUCAUGACACAGGCUUCAAGACCUCGGCGAACCUAGCUUACAGGGGGCGCGGGCGUGGCUACAAUAGAGGUCGCGGGCGCAACAACAGCAGAGGCCGCGGUCGAGGCAGGCGCCCCUCCCCAACGCCAUCUGGUGGAAACGGCGGCGGAGGAGGAGGCCGCGGCCGCCCACAGCAACAACGUUAG